rnacentral:rRNA from 1 species
AAACUAGGAUUAGAUACCCUAUUAUUUUAGAGGUAAACAUUGUUAGUAAAUAAAAAUUACGAAAGCAAAAAAUUAUGGCGGUAUUUUAAGCUUUUCAGAGGAAUUUGCUCUUUAAUGGAUAAAACACCUAAAUCUUACUUAAAUUUGUAAAUUCAAUUUGUAUACCACUAUAAAAACAAUUAAUAAUUUCAAUUGUUAAAAAUUAUUAAAUUAAGUUAUAUUAAGUCAAGGUGCAGUAAAAAUUUAAGAAUGAAGUGAAUUACAUUUCUUUUUAGAGAGAGAAAUUUAAAUAACGUUUAGGAUUUGAAAGUAAAAUUGAAAUAGAAUGUCAAUUUGAAUUAAGCUCUAAAAUAUGUACAUAUCGCCCGUCACUCUUUAUUAAGAUAAGUCGUUACAUAG